CUCCAGUUACUGGUGAUCUGAUGCCCACUCUCUGCCUGAAUCAUCAGGUAGUGUAAACGAACUCUUGCAGCCUCACAUACAAAUAAGAAAAAAAAAGAAAGGAAGAAAGGAAAAAAGCUACAAAGAGCAGAGGCCUUUCUGUUGUUCAGAGAUAUAGCCCAAGUGCUCACAACAACAUCUGAUGUGGAAAAAAAAAGUGAACCUAAAGCUAUUCUUGAGAACAUCGUGGUAACACACCUGGAAUUUCAGCAUUUGGGAUGUGACCACAAGAGGAUCAGGAAUUCAAGGUCAUCAUCAUCUGCCCUGCCUAGACUACUUGUCCUGAAUGAACCCUCACAUGGAAUUUGCAAC